UACGUAGGGUGCGAGCGUUGUCCGGAUUUACUGGGCGUAAAGAGCUCGUAGGCGGCUUAGUAAGUCGGGUGUGAAACCUCCAGGCUCAACCUGGAGACGCCACCCGAUACUGCUGUGGCUAGAGUCCGGUAGGGGAGCGUGGAAUUCCUGGUGUAGCGGUGAAAUGCGCAGAUAUCAGGAGGAACACCAGCGGCGAAGGCGGCGCUCUGGGCCGGUACUGACGCUGAGGAGCGAAAGCGUGGGGAGCAAACAGG
rnacentral:rRNA from 1 species